rnacentral:rRNA from 1 species
UAGGGAAUCUUCGGCAAUGGACGAAAGUCUGACCGAGCAACGCCGCGUGAGUGAAGAAGGUUUUCGGAUCGUAAAACUCUGUUGUUAGAGAAGAACAAGGGUGAGAGUAACUGUUCACCCCUUGACGGUAUCUAACCAGAAAGCCACGGCUAACUACGUGACAG